CGCAUCUUGCGCUUCCGGGUAUUCCUGGGAGCAUGUCUGUUUGAGUGUCGUUUAAUCUAUCAAUGCUGGCUUUAUUUCGGUAAAGACUGUGUUGGAGGUGGGUGUCUCGAUGCAUGUCGAGGCGCUUGAAAAGCAAGGCUGCAGUGUGCUGCUAGCGUAAUAAUAUUUCGCUAAUAGUUGUAAUUGCAUGUCUAACGUAUUUGAGAAGAGAAAUAGCUAUAGAAAUACUCAUAGCUAAUUCUCGUCUCAUCACAUUCAUCUUGACCUCAAAUCAGGCAGGACUACCCGCUGAACUUAA
rnacentral:misc_RNA from 1 species